CCUACGGGCGACAGCAGUGAGGAAUAUUGGUCAAUGGCCGGGAGGCUGAACCAGCCAAGUCGCGUGAAGGAAGAAGGCCCUACGGGUUGUAAACCUCUUUUGUCGGGGAGCAAAGCGAGUCACGUGUGACUGAUCGAGAGUACCCGAAGAAAAAGCAUCGGCUAACUCCGUGCCAGCAGCCGCGUUAAUACGGAGGAUGCGAGCGUUAUCCGGAUUUAUUGGGUUUAAAGGGUGCGCAGGCGGGGGUGCAAGUCAGCGGUCAAAUGGCGGGGCUCAACCCCGUACUGCCGUUGAAACUGCAUCCCUUGAGUGCGCGAGAGGUAUGCGGAAUGCGUGGUGUAGCGGUGAAAUGCAGAGAUAUCACGCAGAACUCCGAUUGCGAAGGCAGCAUACCGGCGCGCAACUGACGCUCAUGCACGAAAGCGUGGGUAUCGAACAGGAUUAGAUACCCGAGUAGUC
rnacentral:rRNA from 1 species